UACGUAGGGGGCGAGCGUUGUCCGGAAUUACUGGGCGUAAAGGGUGCGUAGGCGGCGUGUUAAGUUGGAUGUGAAAUACCCGGGCUUAACCUGGGGGGUGCAUUCGAUACUGGCAGGCUAGAGUGCAGGAGAGGGAAGCGGAAUUCCUAGUGUAGCGGUGAAAUGCGUAGAUAUUAGGAGGAACACCAGUGGCGAAGGCGGCUUUCUGGACUGUAACUGACGCUGAUGCACGAAAGCGUGGGGAGCAAACAGGAUUAGAUACCCUGGUAGUCCACGCUGUAAACGAUGAAUACUAGGUGUAGGGGGUAUGAACUCCCCCUGUGCCGCAGCAAACGCAAUAAGUAUUCCGCCUGGGGAGUACGGCCGCAAGGUUGAA
rnacentral:rRNA from 1 species